rnacentral:misc_RNA from 1 species
AGAGUGUGUGUGUGUGUGUGUGUUUCUAAGUGAAGUGCAAUUCAAUGGCAACAUCACAAAUGUGCCUAAUAAAUAACAAUAUUCCUAUACAUACAUUCACUUUCGUAGUGUUUGAACAUGAGCAUGCAUGGGUAUGAGGAUGGGUGCAACCCCUACUUACUUUCUAUGGCAUUUCUAUGGCAUUACAUUACAAUUGAAUGCUAUUGAAAUCAAGAAAAGUAUUGCUGAAGUAAUUACCAGACAUCUGAAAGACAUAAAAACACAUCAAUAAAGACAACUUGGAGCAAUAUACACAAAUAUCAGCAACGAAGAACAAUCCAUUGAUUUGUACCUUCAAUCUUGGGUGGCACAG